AGGAACUAACAACAUCUUCAACAGUAUCAACAGGUCUCACUGUACACUCAGGAACUAACAACACCUUCAACAGUAUCAACAGGUCUCACUGUACACUCAGGAACUUACAACACCUUCAACUAUGUCAACAGGUCUCACUGUACACUCAGGAACUAACAACACCUUCAACUAUGUCAACAGGUCUCUCUGUACACUCAGGAACUAACAACACCUUCAACAGUGUCAACAGGUCUCACUGUACACUCAGGAACUAACAACACCUUCAACAGUGUCAACAGGUCUCACUGUACACUCAGGAACUAACAACACCUUCAACUAUGUCAACAGGUCUCUCUGUACACUCAGGAACUAACAACACCUUCAACAGUGUCAACAGGUCUCUCUGUACACUCAGGAACUAACAACACCUUCAACAGUGUCAACAGGUCUCUCUGUACACUCAGGAACUAACAACACCUUCAACAGUAUCAACAGGUCUCACUGUACACUCAGGAACUAACAACACCUUCAACAGUAUCAACAGGUCUCACUGUACACUCAGGAACUAACAACAACUUCAACAGUGUCAACAGGUCUCAC